rfam:Oryza barthii chromosome 1, whole genome shotgun sequence.
AAAAAGACAAACCCUGGAUUUCCGUGCCAACAUUUGACCGUCCGUCUUAUAUGAAAUUUUUUUAUAAUUAGUAUUUUCAUUGUUGUUAGAUGAUAAAACAUGAUUAAUACUUUAUGCGUGACUUAUCUUUUUAAUUUUUUUUCAUAAUUUUUUUAAAUAAGACGGACGGUCAAACGUUGGACACUGAAACCAGGGUUUGUCUUUUU